UAACCAAAUAUGUCACAAACGGGAAGAUACUAAUAUCACGUUACCAUUUUCAUGAAAAUCAAUUCAAAAUACUAACUUUCCUAACACAUCGAUUCUUACCUUACUUAAUCUUUCUACUCCUAAACUUCUCUACUCCGUAAGUCGUUCGUUCCUACAUCUGCCCCAUCGAUCGAACUCUCCAUCCCUCACCGAUUUUUAUUCCCGUGAAACCGGUGAAAGAAAAAAAAUCCUCCCCAACGCUCACACCCCACCCCCAUUACUCUCCUGCCAGCGACGCCGCCCCCGUUCCCCUCGGACGCCAUGGCGGCCGCAGCCUCCUGGUCCUCCUCUGCACGCAUCAUCGCCUGCAACACCGCUAACCACGGUCUUCACUGGCGUCGUGAUGGCCGCGACCUCCACCCAGAGCCAUCCGCCGUUGGGCCCUUAUACCCCCUCCCGAAGGGAUCCACCACGGACAAGGGAACGGCCGCUCUUGGGCGUCGGGAUGUGGUCGUCGCGUGGCGCGGCAUGAUAGGCUCUGGAGUUGGUCGAUGACCCGGAGUUCGCCAUUGUACCGCCCAGAGGCCUCCUCGGCGAGGCCGCCUGAGCCUGCGCAGACGCUUGGUGGACCGCGGCUGAAUCUCCAUCUACACCUUCACCCCGGCAUCCACCAACAACAAGGACAACGCCAGAAACUGGUAAUCGCCAUCGCGGAACCAUGGUUCCCGCCCUCGGCCGUCCAAUGUCUUUCUCGUCUGCGACCUCCGAGACCUCCGCCGGUGGCGACGAGAACGGCGGCCCGUAGCAGCCCCCCAAAAGCACCGGUGCACCACCACGACAACAGAACCUUGUUGCUGCUGCUCGGCAUGGAUGACGGCCCCUCCAAGAGAUGGAUAAGCUCUCGUGAUCCCCACUCCACAUCUCUCAUCCCUUGAAUUCGCAUCCCCUCCCAUCUCGGUCCCGCCAAUGAUCUGAUCCGGAAGCCGGCCACGAUCCAAUCCCCUGAAUUCCUAUCCGCCCCCGUCUCUCGUCUAGCCGCCUCCAUCUUGGGUGUGGCAGCGCUGCUAACGUCGUUGCGACCUCCCUCAAUUGCAGGUUCGGCCUUCCUCGUCUCCAUGCUCGACCGACGAGGUGGUCUUCGUCCCGAGCCGUGGUGGGGUGUUUCUGGUUGUGCUACUGUUCCUCCUUCUGUUCCUCCCGAAAUGAGGAGGGGUAGUGCCUGCUGUGGCUCAGCAGGAUAACAUAAGCUUGCCCAUUUUCUUUUGUGUUUGAAUCAAAUCUGCUGGUUCUCAGUUUUAUAUGCACGUACCAAUCUUGGUCUUCUGUAUGCAGGGUACCCUCCUGAUGGCUGAUGAUGUUUCACAACCUCUUCUGCAGAUUUUCAGUAUACCGAGGGAAAUAUUGCGUUGGAAGGAUCCCGGGUUGGCGGGGGCGGCCAGACCAGGUGGCAAAUGCGAUGCACAAGUUGAGGAGCGAAGGUAAAGAGGAGAGGCCACGACAACCCGAGCAGCAGCGAGGGGAUGGAUCAGCGGCCGGGCAGCUGCGUCGACCCGAGCAGUUGCGAGAGCGAAUGAAGCUGCAGCUGCACGGACAAGCUUGUGGAGAUGUUAGUAUGCACGCAUGCGUCCAUGAUUUGGAGCACGCCUCUGGCCUGGUAGGAUUCUCGCUCUGCCCCGACCUCAAGGGCGUUCGUCUAUCUGUGUUGUGCUCGGGACGAUGCACUAAUGCAGGGAGAGAGUACGACUUUGAAAACAAUCUGCAGUACCCGUGAGCCUGCUCAUAGGUAGAUAUCGAUACAUUUUGUAGCUUCCAUUCUUGUUUUCUCUCAUUGAAAUUAUGGAUUUGGAAACUAAUCAUGGAGUGUCUAGAUUGCCUGCUAUAUUACCAAGUGCGCUGAAGGAAAAGCUGCUGCCACUGUGGAUGACCACUCUAGGUGAUAUAAUUCAUGUUUGCUUUGUUGUUUCAGUAACUUCCUGUAGCAUAUUGGUUCCAUCUUUUUUUUUUGCAUCAUGGUACAUUAUUCUCAUCUUGAUAUAUAUCAUUUGGUCAACUGAAGAUUUGAGUGCAGGGUAGAAUUCUUGGUUGAUUUAAGAAUUUCGUUGUUGAUUAGUUGGCCAACAGACUUUUAUGAAAUUCAAGGCGUUAUUUAGUGUACUAUAUGUCAUAUUUGUCUUAUUUCUAUACUCACAAUAUUUCCGCAUCAUCUGAACAAAUGAUGCUAAAUUGAUAUAAUCAUUUUGGAUCAGUGUCAUCUUCUCAAUGCUGAACAGCCAAAAUAUAUACAUAGUGAGCAGUCCGCCGCACAUGCUCAUACGUCAUAUUUAUGUACUGUUUAACACGGCAAAAAUUGGUCAAACAUUUAAAUAUUUCUACUGUUUAACACAGCCAAAGUAUAUACAUAAUGAUCAGUCCUCCGCUGCACGUUAGAUCCAGCCUCCCUCCCUUGACACCAUUCUUCUUACUUAUUAUUAUUUCUUUUAAAAAUAUCUUUAGUUUUAUUUUCUAGAUACUUCAAUUCAUUCGUAUAUGGACUUCCAUCGCACUACGAGGAUGAUCCAUGGCUGGUCGCGGACGAUCACCUGCGAGGAUGAUUCAUGGCCGGUUGGGGAUGGUCAGUUCCAUCACACUGCGAGGAGAUGAUUCAUGGCCGGUCGGGGAUGGUCACCUACGGUGAGCACGAGUACCUCCUCCAUAUCCUCCCUAUACUAGCACCCUUGGCGAUGAAAAUGACAACCAGGAGAAUCCCUCCUUCACACCUCUUUUCCAUCUCUGUCAGAUUGUCCUCUCCAGCAAGGUGUCUAUGCAUGAAUCAUAUUUAAACAUCGAUGAAAGUUUUAACUUCCUGCAAAUUUUGGUGAUGAAAUAACAUUGGUGGAGGUCUGGACAAAAAGAAAAAAACCGAUGCUCCAAAAUGCUUCCGAGAACGAAUCUUCUGGAGCGUCGAAAUUUUUUUGCCCAGACCUACACGAAUGUCAUUUCAUCAAAAACAUUUGCAAGAAGUUAAAACUUUCAUAGAUGUUUAUAAAAAAAUCAGAUUUUUUUAUUUUUUAUGUGUUUUUGGAUUUUACUGUUCAUCAAGGAGCAUGUGAGCUCGGGUUCAAAUACUCCACGUCCUCAUAUUUAUUCCUAUUCUCCUUUUGUCAUUUUUUACAUCUAGGCAUAUAGUGUUUUGCUGUGUCUCAAAGUUUUACCUUUUUAAAAGUGAUAUGUGUUUAUAUUUUGUGGAUGUUUUUGUUGCUGGUAUAUAUUCUCAAGUGAUAAUCAUCAUAUCUUGUCAAUCUCUAUGUUAUGAGAGGUAUAAAAAUAUAAUCGGAUCUAAAUUUGAUAGUAUGCUACCUUGGCCAAUAUACUGCAUCAUGUGAAUGUUUCUCGUUCUCAAAAGUGCACUAUAUCUGGCCUCUCUGGCCACGAAGGCUGCAAGGUUGCACCUUGGAGCUCAAAAUUUGGUGUCUUCGCAUUGAAGGAUCCAAUCCAUCGACUUUGGAGUUUGAACAUGUCACUUGUGAUGGGGAGAGGAAGAGAUGACUUGCAUACACUGGACAAUGAGUGUGUUAGCAGCGUGGUGGCUCAGGACUGUACAAGUUGUAGUAGCCCCUUCCCUUAUAAAUGUUUUGUUUUGAUUGGAAGCACCUUAUAAUUUAGCUAAUAUAUGGAUUUCAUUUACAUCGUCUGUCCAAGUAUGCAAGGCCCAUGAGAUGGGCAUUAAUCACUUCUCUUUUGUCUCAGUAUUUUGAUAGGGGACCUAUGUAUAUGGAAGGAGUUAGUAUCAUGUAAAUCGUAUCACCAAUUUAAGGAUCCUCAUGUUUUCUUACUUUUCAACAGUUAUUUGUGAUUUUGUUCACAAGU